rnacentral:rRNA from 1 species
AUUGAACGCUGGCGGCAGGCCUAACACAUGCAAGUCGAGCGCGAAAACACUUCGGUGUGAGUAGAGCGGCGGACGGGUGAGUAAUGCUUGGGAAUCUGCCCAGUAGUGGGGGAUAACGUGUGGAAACGCACGCUAAUACCGCAUACGUCCUACGGGAGAAAGCAGGGGAUCUUCGGACCUUGCGCUAUUGGAUGAGCCCAAGUCGGAUUAGCUAGUUGGUGGGGUAAUGGCCUACCAAGGCGACGAUCCGUAGCUGGUCUGAGAGGAUGAUCAGCCACACUGGGACUGAGACACGGCCCAGACUCCUACGGGAGGCAGCAGUGGGGAAUAUUGCACAAUGGGCGAAAGCCUGAUGCAGCCAUGCCGCGUGUGUGAAGAAGGCUCUAGGGUUGUAAAGCACUUUCAGUAGGGAGGAAAAGCUUAAGGUUAAUAACCUUGAGCCCUGACGUUACCUACAGAAGAAGCACCGGCAAACUCCGUGCCAGCAGCCGCGGUAAUACGGAGGGUGCGAGCGUUAAUCGGAAUUACUGGGCGUAAAGCGCGCGUAGGUGGUUUGAUAAGCUAGCUGUGAAAGCCCCGGGCUCAACCUGGGAACUGCAGUUAGAACUGUCUGACUAGAGUACAGUAGAGGGUGGCGGAAUUUCCUGUGUAGCGGUGAAAUGCGUAGAUAUAGGAAGGAACAUCAGUGGCGAAGGCGGCCACCUGGACUGAUACUACACUGAG